UGCUUGUCAUAGCAACCAAUUUAAUUACACCAUAAUUUUGCCGGCUGGUAUUUUUUUUUUCAGAUUAGAUUGAUUGACCACUUUAUACAAGAUUUGUCGCCGCUGGCUUGAGACCUUUUAAUCCACCACGGAGAGGCGCAGCUGCCCAUGUGCACAUCGACAUUGAUGUCUAGACUAACCUUGAAGCAUCAAAUCAAGCUUCUGCACACAUUAUUAUCAAUCAAGGCAGCGCUUGACUCACGAGUUCAGCUAAGCUCUUCAGCAUGUACCACAUUCGAUGCUGCUAAAAGAAUGGAUUGACUUAUGUGGCCGGACAUUGCUUCCAUUACGUAGAAAAAUGAUAGACUGCUUCGACUACAUAGCAGCAUCUCGCAGCAUGUAAUUUUCUAAUUCCUCUCAUUCUCAAUGCAAUGUACUAUGAUGCGUAUGUUCUGUUGCUGUA
rnacentral:lncRNA from 1 species